rnacentral:rRNA from 1 species
GAUGAACGCUGGCGGCGUGCCUAACACAUGCAAGUCGAGCGAACAGACGAGGAGCUCUCUCCCCUGACGUUAGCGGCGGACGGGUGAGUAACACGUGGAUCACCUACCUAUAAGACUUGGAUAACUACGGGAAAACGGAGAUACUAACAGCUAAUAUAUCGUACGGCUGAAAGCAAUAGUUAUACACGCUUUUGCCGUCUCAUAUAGCCGGUGCCGCAUUAGCUAGUUGGGUUGGUAACGGCUCACCAAGGCAACGAUGCGUAGCCGGUCUGAGAGGAUGAUCAGCCACACUGGAACUGAGACACGGUCCAGACUCCUACGGGAGGCAGCAGUAGGGAAUCUUCGGCAAUGGGCGCAAGCCUGACGGAGCAACACCGCGUGAGUGAUGAAGGUCUUCGGAUCGUAAAACCCUGUUAUUAGGGAAGAACAGAUGUGUGAUUAUCUAUGCACGUUCUGACGGUACCUAAUCAGAAAGCCACGGCUAACUACGUG